CCAAAAGAUCGAAUGGGGAGAUUCAUCGUCAGCGUGGCAUGACGCUUGUGCGGUUCGCGAUGUCGAGGGCCUCGGUCCUACGGCACGCGUCCGCAUGGUUCACUUGUCUGUCAUCGUCGGCGUGCACUUCUCCCCUAGUAGGACGUCGCGACCCGUUGGGUGUCGGUCUACGGCCCGGGUGGUAGCCUGUCGUGCGUCACGGUUCAUCCCGUCGCGCGGCAGACCCCCGGUCGCCCGACCAGCUGCCCGGCGGUACUCGCACGGUAUCGAGCCGCAAUUAUUUGUUGCGUCCGGCCCGUCGCAAGCUUGGCGAGUGUUUACCCGGAUGUUCGGACCUAGCGCCGUCACCGGGCCUCGCCAGCUGUUGGUUGAUGGUGUUCUUGGACCGGCUCUGAAAAUUGUAUACCGGUCGGCGACGCUACUGCUUUGGGUACUUUCAGGACCCGUCUUGAAACACGGACCAAGGAGUCUAACAUGUGCGCGAGUCAUUGGGACUUGUUAAGCCUAAAGGCGCAAUGAAAGUGAAGGUCGGCCUUGCGCCGACCGAGGGAGGAUGGGCCGCGUCACGAUGCGGUCCCGCACUCCCGGGGCGUCUCGUUCUCAUUGCGAGAAGAGGCGCACCCAGAGCGUACACGUUGGGACCCGAAAGAUG
rnacentral:rRNA from 1 species